ACAUCUGCUUCUGGCUCCUGUUCCUCUCUGCUCCUCUCACUUUCCCGUAAAUUGGAAAAUACCCUAAUGUGAUUCCCUGUUGUGAUGGCAGUAUUCAAAGUAUAUGGGGAAGGACAACCAAGUUGAACUCAGAUUGCUUACCAGCUGGAAAAGAAAGAAGUCAUUACAACCUGUUACAACCUGUUACAUUUGAAGGGAACUUCUGGAAAUUCUUAGAGGGCAGUGAGGCUCUGGCAUAGGCUGCCCGGAGAAGCUGUGGUUGCCCUAUCCCUGAAGGUGCUGAAGGCCAGGUUGGAUGGGGCCCUGGGCACUUUAUUUGUUCCAGGUACCUGUCUGGAAGAGAAGAACUACAUUCACCAAGAGCCUUUUCAAGUACUGUUAUCAUUCCUGCUCAAGGGAACAGAUAUAAGGGCGCAGGUCAUCUGACUCUUCCCUCUUCUCAUCUCGCCGUGUUCCCUGCCGGAUCGGCUCACUACUGCUGCUCCCAACUGCACACAAGGCUUCAGUAUUGGUGUAAGGCCUUCAGCUCUGGGACAAUCUUUCUCUCAAUUAUUGUUGAUUUAUAUUGUAUUAUAGUGUGUUAUCUUACAUUCCGAUACUAUAUUUAGUAAAUUAGUUUGUUUCU
ensembl:lncRNA